UAUUUUCCGAAUACCAAAUUUAUUUCUAUUGGGCUAUUGGCAUUUGGCAAUUGGGCCUCCUAUAAUUAUUUUUGUUGGGCCAUUUCUAUAAUUUAUCUAUAUCCAUUUCAUUUCAGUAUCAAAUAUUUACCUCUAAUUCUUUAUACUGCCCAUUGCCCAACCCUAAUCUUCACUCUUCACUGAAUAUUCACUCUUCACUUCUCACUUGAGUCACUCUUAACCGCCUCUGCGCCUCAGACCUCAGUCUUCACUCUUCAGUCUUCAUGAAUCACGCCGCCUUCAGCCCUUCAGCUUCACGCCGCCUUCGCCCUUCAGCCCUUCAGCUUCACGCCACCAUCAGCUUCCCGUUCUCCAUCAAAUAUCAAAUCUUUUGGAAAGAUUUGUACGGGAUUAGUGAAACAUAAGUUCCAGGUAAGAGAUUCAUGUUGAUUGAUGUCUUUGAGUAGUUUAUCAACAGCAAGCUUUCUGGGAAGAGUAGAAACAACAUUUUGGAGUUAACUUGUGAAUUGCAACAUUCACCUCCAUCGCUAUUCCAAGAUUUUGAAUAUACUGCUUCUUGUUUUUAAGUUGAAAAGGGAAAGUAUAUAAUACAAGGAAAAAGUGUACAACUGAGCUAUGAGGACUAGUUGUUAUUGAUUUUGAUGUUCUGUUUAUAUACUUUCUCUUUUGAUUUUGAUGUUCUGUUCAAAAAACCCAAAUAUUCUAUAUCUAAAAUUACAGCUUAUGUUUUUUGAUGUUGUUGUUGUGUGUUGUAGGUGUAGUGUAGCUGCUGCAGGUGUAGUGUAAUCUGUGUAGGUGCUGCAUGUGGUGUUGUUGACUGUUGUUGUUGUGUGUUGCUGAAAAAUAGCCUUGCAGGUGUAGUGUGCAGGUGACUGUUGUUGUUGUGUGUUGCUGAAAAACAGCCUUGCAGGUGUAGUUUGCAGGAGACUAUUGUUGUGUGUUGCUGAAAGCCUGAAAAAUAGGUGGGUGUUAUUAGUUGCUAUUAUUUGUUGUUGUUGUUGUGUUGGUGAAAAACAAGUGGGUGUUGUUUGUUGCUAGAAAGAACUUUGUCUUUGCUAUUCCAAAUGAAAGGGAAGAUGCUGAAAAAGAAGGCUUGAAUUACUAUAUUGUAAAUCAGUUUUUGUUUUCAUGUUCUUGUUCUGUCAAUGAUGAUGAAAUUUGAGGAGCUUGUCAUAACAGUUGGCAGUUUUAAGUUCAUAAUGCCUUUUCAAUUUUCCCUGUUCUCUUUAUGUGAUGUUUAUAUUAAAAGCAAGUCAUAUUUUUGGUAAUUACCAUAUGCAGAAAU